rnacentral:lncRNA from 1 species
AAAAGAAAGAGGUAAGCGUGGCCUGACCUAGCCACCCACCAACAGGAAUAAUGGCUGAAAAAGCGGGGUCUACAUUUUCACACCUUCUGGUUCCUAUUCUUCUCCUGAUUGGCUGGAUUGUGGGCUGCAUCAUAAUGAUUUAUGUUGUCUUCUCUUAGAAAGGCAAGAAGAUAUCAGAUUGACAUCAUUUAGAAGAAUUAAGAAAACUAUGAACAUGACUGAUUAUUAAAUGUCUCAUGUUAAACAAUGCAAUGUUUGACAUCACUUUACAAACUUGGAUCAUAAACUGGCACUUUGGAUAUGGUAGAAAGUACAGAGUACCACCUAUGAAGUAUUCUUGCCAAAACAAGUGAACCUGAAGCAGAACAAGUUUCUGGAUCAAUCUACAAGGCUACUUUAAAGAAAAUCAUGAGGAUAUAUUCUGCCAAGUCCAAAGUGUGGAAAAUUAUAAAGGAUACAUGAUCUGGUUUUUCCAACAAAUAGCUAACAUUAAGAAGUGAGGUGGGGGCCGGCGCAGUGGCUCACGCCUGUAAUCCCAGCACUUUGGGAGGCCGAGGUGGGCGGAUCACAAGGUCAGGAGAUUGAGACCAUCCUGACCAACAUGGUGAAACCCCAUCUCUUCUAAAAACACAAAAAUCAGUUGGGCGUGGUGGUGCAUGCCUGUAAUCCCAGCUACUCGGGAGGCUGAGGCAGGAGAAUUGCUUGAACCAAGGAGCUGGAGGUUGCAGUGAGCUGAGAUCACACCACUGCACUCCAGUCUAGUGACAGAGUGAGACUCCAUCUCAAAAAAAAAAAAAAAAAAAGUGAAGUGGGAAAGGAGAAACUAUUACAGAAUAAAAGAGACUUAAAAGGAUAGCCAACAAAUGCAAUAUAUGAAUCAACUACAAAAGACACAUUUUUGCAUGUCUGUGAUAAAGAUAUUAAGGAAUUGUUAUUUAUUCUAAACAUUACAUGUUAGGAUUUGAAUAUGGUUUGUUUUUCUCCACCAAAUCUCAUAUUGAAAUUUAAUUCCCAGAGUGGCAAUUUUGGGAGGCGGGGCCUAGUGGCAGAUGUUUGGGUCACAGGAAUGGAUCCCUCCUAAAGGCUUGGUGCCUUUCUCUUGGUAAUGAGAGAGUUCUCACUCCCUAGAGACUAGGAUGGCUCCUUAGAAAGUGGGUUGUUAUGAAGCGAGAAUGCCCCUUGGGCUUGGCCCCUCUUCACACUUGGCCGCUUACCUGUUGACCUCUGCCAUGUUUUGACUCAGCACAAAAGCCUCACCAUAAGCUGAGCAAGAUGUCAACACCAUGCUUCUUAUACAGCCUGUGGAAUGAGCUUAUUAAACCUCUUUUCUUUAUAGAUCACCCAGCCUCAGGUAUUUCUUUUAGCAACACGAAAUGGACUAAGACACUAUAAUAAUGACUUGGCAAUAGAAAAGACUCUUACCUGUUAGAGACAAUACUGAAAUAAUUGCUGGUUAGAUAUUAGGAUACCUUUACCUUAAAAUAUUAUCUUAAAAUAUUCCUAUAGAAAAACUAAAACUAUAAAACUAAAUUAUAAAACUGAAACUAUAUAAAAACUUUAAAAAAAGCUAAAAAAUGAAGUGGGGAACAUUAAAUAAGACAGGCAAAAUGUUGACAUUUGCUUAAGAUGAAUGGUGAUCUCAUAAGGAUUUAUUAUACUCUUUAUUCUACUUUUGUGAAUAUUUAAACAUUUUUAUAAGAAGUUUCCUUUUUCCUCCCGGUGACUCUGUGUUGCAAAGUGUAAUUAAUACAAGUGAGCAAAAUUACACAAAAUAAAACACAGUGCUGUUCCUGAACCUCACCCUGGGAGAGUCUGAUUCAGCAGGUGUGCACUGGGUCCAGAAAUCUGCAUUUUAACAAAUUCCUCCAGGGAUCCUUGGGCACACUAAAAUUUAAGAACCAUUGUUUUAGAGAAGUGGUG